UCUCUCUCUCUCUCUCUCUCUCUCUCUCUCUCUCUCUCUCUCUCACCCCGCCUCCCGCCCUCCCGCCCCUCCCGCCAGCCAGCAGGACUCCCGCUCUCCCUCGCUGGCAACGCUGCAGCAUCCACACUUGGUUCGUGGCCGCCAUCGCGUUCAGGAGGCUCCGUUCCUCUCUCCCUCGCCGCGUCUAUCUGUGUCUUGCGGGCGCCGUUCAAUCCGCCGCUAUACCCGCCACCCACACCUCCUGUACCCAGCAAGAUCAAACCAUGACGGAAAAAUUGUAGCUCUCCACAGGCAUUUCCAAGUCAAAUGUCACAGUACCAGCCGGGGGUUAGAUAGAGCAGUAACAGUAACAGUGCACGGUGAUGUGUGGUUAGCGGCCUGGUAAGGAAGAACAGUAAGCGGAGGCCAAAAGAGGGAGAGACGGCGCGCAAAGUACACGGGAACAAAAGAAGAGACCCCGCCUCCUGCCCAGCACCGCCCGCUAGCCACACCUGCACAACAAACAUACGUCCAGUACAGUGAUUAAAAUUCCAGUGGCGGGGGACUCGUGGGCGGAAGGUGAGCGCGCGAGGAAGGCGAGAGGGCGGGCUAGCAGCUGCCUCCCCCAGAUAUGUUUGGCUGACAGGAAACAAAAAAGUGUGUCUAAGUGAGUGCUCGCGAAUCAAAAAAUAUAAAUCGUCAAGGAAAGUAAGGACCGACCGCCGCGUGACUCAGCCAGCCGUGCCGCCAUAACUCAGUCCAUGCAACAGGAGUAGAUGUGCUUAUUUUAUGUAACAAACUCCCACGCAUGCUACGGACGGAGGGCGCCCCCCGCGACUGUUCCCUUCCAGCUGUGACCCUGACCCCCGAAAGCAACAGCAACAGCAGCAGCACCGCCCCCGCUGGCCCCCGGGAGCCGCGCCCCUCCGCCCCACUCCUCCCACGCCGCCCUGCGCCUCCGUCCACCCUCUGAUACCCUGGAGUCCCCUCUCGUCAGGCGGACUUCCUCCUCGUCAGUCACGGAGACGCCCGGGCCCCCGCUGCCGGGUCCUCUGGCCUUAGCGCCAGUCUAUUCUCCGAGACCUGUCUCCGAAAACCGCCAAGAUUUUCGGCCCAAGCAGAGGCAAGAUAAUCCAACCCUUCACUAUGGACUUAGACUCGAACAUAUUCAGCAAAAGGAAGUCCUCGAUAGAUGCAAUAGUGAGGGGUAAGUUGUGUGUGUUGUGUUGUGGUGUUGUGUUGUGUUGGCGCCAGGAAGGGUGGUGGUGAGUGCCCGUGAGUGUUGUGGUCCAAAAGGCGUGUGUGGUGAGCGCCAGUGUGGUCUUGAAAAUGCAGGGUGAGUGAUACAUGUUUAUUGUUCCAAUGGCUCUACUUGUGGAUUAUACUCUUCACAUCGCGGCUUG